GAAAUUCGUAACAACUAGCCGGGGCGCUCGGGCGGUUUAUGUCAACGGAUAUAGGUUUUUGAAGCAGUAUACAACGGGUGGGAGAAAAAUACGUUGGAACUGCGCAACUCACUGCAAGAGAAGCUGCAAGGCCUUCGUGUAUACCGUCAAUGAAGAGUUUGUCAAAGUGAAUAACGAACACAAUCACCCGAAUGGUUUCGGCCUGGAUCAUCUGCCACCGUUCACAUAUUUUCCUGUGAAUUAAAUACAGCAAGGACUCCACUUCCAGCAGCUGAAAGAGAUAAAAGAUACAGGGACAAGUUAGAAAAUUAGCCCAAAAUAUGCUGAUUAUAAAAAACUGCAAUAUUGGAAGAAAAAGCAAUAGAAGGAAAUAGCUCCGUUUUAAAGUACAGAAGAUUGCGGAGCAGUGUCAUACUCCGUGAGUCUGCCAAAAGAUGAAAUGGAAUUGCUGGUUCGGAAAAAAUCAUGGGGCCAAUGUUCACCCGAUCUUCCCGCGGAGCGCAAAUGAUAUACUAUAUGGGUCACAAAUUUCUAAAGCACUCCACUUCCAGAGACGGCACGAAGAUCAGAUGGUGGUGCAGCUUCAACAACAGGGAGUGCCGAGCAGUCAUAUUUACCGUCGGCAACCAAAUUGUGAAGUGCAACAAUUUGCAUAAUCAUCCGCCACCUAAUACACUUUAACGAUCCUAAACUUGUUUAUCAAAAGGCGCAACUCAGGCUCUUUUCCGCAGAGCUUAGGAAACUUUACUCUUUAGUCGUUUGCUAUGUAAUGCCUUACUAGAGUUACUCCGUCUAAUUAUAUUAUCCGUGAUUUACUAGCAUGUGUACUUGAGUCUUUUUCUUUUUACGCUACGACGCAGAAAUGCAUGGUCAGCUUAUGAACACAUCCUAUCCUACCUACAAGUGUAAAAGAGGUGUCAUUUAUUCGAAUUGAAUUUUUUUUUUUUGGUU